AAACUCACUAGAAAGGCGGCCUGCAAGGCCAGUACCGGCCAGCGACCGACUGGCAUCCCCGGUGGAGCGGCGGCCGUCCUGUGCCUGGAACCCAUGAUGUCUCGGUGGGGAGAGAAGGAGAACAAUCUGUAGUCGCAUCGUCUGGUACAGUCACACCUGUCUGGAGAAGAUUCACAGCACACCAAAGUACGCAGAAACAACAUGGACAAUCAAAAUGGCUUUCUCCCAGAAUCUUGGACACAGAUGUUCCUCAAACAAAAGCCUCUUAUACCUGCCGUUAUACAGCUUGUCACAGCCAUAGUGAUCAUUAUAGUUGGAUGCUUUGGGGAAGUCCAUGUGGGAACACCAUG